rnacentral:rRNA from 1 species
UACGGGGGGGGUAAGCGUUGUUCGGAAUUACUGGGCGUAAAGGGCUCGUAGGCGGCCAACUAAGUCAGACGUGAAAUCCCUCAGCUUAACUGGGGAACUGCGUCUGAUACUGGAUGGCUUGGAUUUGGGAGAGGGAUGCGGAAUUCCAGGUGUAGCGGUGAAAUGCGUAGAUAUCUGGAGGAAUACCGGUGGCGAAGGCGGCAUCCUGGACCGACAUUGACGCUGAGGAGCGAAAGCUAGGGGAGCAAACGGG